rnacentral:lncRNA from 1 species
UAUACUCGUCUCAUUUGUAAUUAUGAAUGAACCUUCUCUUUUAAAAGUUAUAAAUAAAAUCUUCCCAUUUGGACAUUAUUAAUUAAGAAAAUAUUAUUUGACCACUGACUGGGGACAACCAAGAAGAGCAUAGCUGCAUAGGAAUAUUUGACCAUGAAUGCACGUGUGGGUGGACAAGAGCACACGAGUGCUUCGCUGUAAUGGGUGGUGUGGUUAGCUUAGGAAUGUGUGCGCCACGUCCGUUCCACAUGGGAGGAUAUAUCGCAUGCACGAGCCAACUUGGUCCUUUCUAACCCUUUCACAAAAAAAAAACUUGGUCCUUUCUAAUUUUUAACUACAAGCAUUCCUUGAAGCUUCUCCAUAAUUACUACACUAAGUGUGUAUUUUUAUAGAGAACACAGAUUUCCAGAACCAUUAUUGAUAAAACUAAAAAUUAAUCGUGACGAAUGACGAUACUAGAAUUUCAAUAAUGGUGUUUCAAAAAAAAAAAAUCUCAAUAAUCACGCAGAUAUAAAAGUAAUAUUCACAGAAUCUGUAUAUAUUAAAAUUGUCUUAUAUAUAUCGACCGAGUAUCAAAAACUGAUAAAAAAACAUUUAUGCGAAACGUCAAAUUGGAAUUAUCUUCUUUUUACUGCUUGGACUUUUUCUUGCUCAUUAUAUCGAUG